AAUGCUUUAGAAUUGGGCUGCAUGAGAAUAAAAUGACUCUCAACUGCUUCAUCUUUCCUUCCUAAAGAAUUACAUUUUUUAACCCUAUAAAAAUAAGAUUACAAGAAGAGAAAAGCAAUGAGGAAUGAUGCUACAGGUAAUCAUGAGGAGCUUUUACACAGGGCAAGUGGAAGAGAUCCUUUUCAUUCAUCUGAAGGUGAAUCCCACCCCUACCCCUCCAAAUUAAUUUCAAUACUCAAGCUCUGCUAGAGGACUGAGAGGACUACCAGCAGUCAAGUGCUUCAUCAGCUGAUUUGGGACAUGCAGACGAUAGCAGCCACUGAAGGCACUGAAGAGACUGUACACAGUAACAAAGCAAGCAUGAGUUAUCUGGAGAGAGCUGAUCAGUGGUCUCCAGCUGGCUCCAGGCCCCAGCUCAGAAGGUCACACAGCUGACAAGUCAUCCUGUGAGUCACCCCCUGAUACUGCCUGUGUCCAGCAUUACUCAUGUGGUUUGGCAGCACUGAGGGAAGUUCCUCCUCCUUGCUUGCUGCCCAAAGUCAAUGUUGCCCUACAGAACACAGGAGAAAGUAAACCCAUCACGAGACAGAUGGCAACUUGACCAUCUUGUUAGUCAUCAUCACCUCCUUGAGUGGCAGCACCAGACAAGAUUCAUACCACAAACACCACUUUACAAGCUGUCUAGAUGAUGUAUCAGCACAGCCUAAAUACAUCUACCUACAUCAAAAAUAAAGGUUUGCAGCCCUA